rnacentral:rRNA from 1 species
CCUUCGGGUACAAUUGAGACAGGUGGUGCAUGGUUGUCGUCAGCUCGUGUCGUGAGAUGUUGGGUUAAGUCCCGCAACGAGCGCAACCCUUGUGUUUAGUUGCAAACAGGUCAAGCUGUGCACUCUAGACAGACUGCCGUGGACAACACGGAGGAAGGUGGGGAUGACGUCAAAUCAUCAUGCCCCUUAUGAUCUGGGCUACACACGUGCUACAAUGGCCGGUACACGGGCAGCGAAGGAGCGAUCCGGAGCGAAUCCUAAAAAGCCGGUCCCAGUUCGGAUUGCAGGCUGAAACUCGCCUACAUGAAGUUGGAGUUGCUAGUAAUCGCGAAUCAGAAUGUCGCGGUGAAUGCGUUCCCGGGUCUU